CACGUAGGGCGCAAGCGUUGUCCGGAAUUAUUGGGCGUAAAGAGCUCGUAGGCGGUCUGUUGCGUCCGCUGUGAAAACUCGGGGCUUAACCCCGAGCCUGCAGUGGAUACGGGCAGACUAGAGGUAGGUAGGGGAGAAUGGAAUUCCCGGUGUAGCGGUGAAAUGCGCAGAUAUCAGGAGGAACACCGGUGGCGAAGGCGGGUCUCUGGGCCGAUACUGACGCUGAGGAGCGAAAGCAUGGGGAGCGAACAGG
rnacentral:rRNA from 1 species